GCUCCAAGUGGGCCAUUUUU
rnacentral:snRNA from 1 species